CGCAAGCCUGACGGAGCAAGACCGCGUGCGGGAUGACGGCCUAAUGGUUGUAAACCGCUCUUCUCUGGGAAGAUGAUGACGGUACCAGAGGAAUCAGCCUCGGCUAACUCCGUGCCAGCAGCCGCGGUAAUACGGAGGAGGCAAGCGUUAUCCGGAAUUAUUGGGCGUAAAGCGUCCGUAGGUGGUUAUUCAAGUCUGCUGUCAAAGCGUGGGGCUUAACUCCAUAGAGGCAGUGGAAACUGGAUGACUUGAGUGCGGUAGGGGUCGAGGGAAUUCCCAGUGUAGCGGUGAAAUGCGUAGAGAUUGGGAAGAACACCGGUGGCGAAAGCGCUCUACUGGGUCGCACCUGACCCUCAGGGACGAAAGCUAAGGUAGCG
rnacentral:rRNA from 1 species